CUAACAGGAUUCCCCUAGUAACUGCGAGUGAAGCGGGAAAAGCUCAAAUUUAAAAUCUGGCAGUCUUUGGCUGUCCGAAUUGUAUUCUGGAGAAGCGUUUUCCGCGCUGGACCGUGUACAAGUCUCUUGGAAUAGAGCGUCAUAGAGGGUGAGAAUCCCGUCUUUGACACGGACUACCAGUGCUUUGUGAUGCGCUCUCAAAGAGUCGAGUUGUUUGGGAAUGCAGCUCAAAAUGGGUGGUGAAUUCCAUCUAAAGCUAAAUACUGGCGAGAGACCGAUAGCGAACAAGUACCGUGAGGGAAAGAUGAAAAGCACUUUGGAAAGAGAGUUAAACAGUACGUGAAAUUGCUGAAAGGGAAACGCUUGAAGUCAGUCGCGUCAUUCAGAACUCAGCCUGGCUUUUGCCUGGUGUACUUUCUGGUUGACGGGCCAGCAUCAGUUUUGACCGCUGGAAAAAGGCCAUGGGAAUGUGGCACCUUCGGGUGUGUUAUAGCCCGUGGUCAUAUACAGCGGUUGGGACUGAGGACCGCAGCACGCCUUUAUGGUUGGGGUUCGCCCACAUUCGUGCUUAGGAUGCUGGCGUAAUGGCUUUAAACGACCCGUCUUGAAACACGGACCAAGGAGUCUAACAUGCCUGCGAGUGUUUGGGUGGAAAACCCGAGCGCACAAUGAAAGUGAAAGUUGGGAUCCCUGUCGUGGGGAGCACCGACGCCCGGACCAGACCUUUUGUGACGGAUCCGCGGUAGAGCAUGUAUGUUGGGACCCGAAAGAUGGUGAACUAUGCCUGAAUAGGGUGAAGCCAGAGGAAACUCUGGUGGAGGCUCGUAGCGAUUCUGACGUGCAAAUCGAUCGUCAAAUUUGGGUAUAGGGGCGAAAGACUAAUCGAACCAUCUAGUAGAUGGUUCCUGCCGAGUUUCCCCUCAGGAA
rnacentral:rRNA from 2 species